rnacentral:rRNA from 1 species
GCCUAAUACAAUGCAAAGUCGAGCGAGCUUGCCUAUUGAAAUUACUUCGGGAAUGGACAUAGAUACAAGCUAGCGCGGAGUGGGUGAGUAACGCGUGGGUAACCCUGCCCUUAAGUCUGGGAUACCAUUUGGAAACAGAUGCUAAUACCGGAUAAAAGACUACUUUCGCAUGAAAGAAGUUUAAAAAGGCGGCGUAAGCUGUCGCUAAAGGAUGGACCUGCGAUGCAUUAGCUAGUUGGUAAGGUAACGGCUUACCAAGGCGAUGAUGCAUAGCCGAGUUGAGAGACUGAUCGGCCACAUUGGGACUGAGACACGGCCCAAACUCCUACGGGAGGCAGCAGUAGGGAACUUUCCACAAUGGACGCAAGUCUGAUGGAGCAACGCCGCGUGAGUGAAGAAGGUUUUCGGAUCGUAAAGCUCUGUUGUUGGUGAAGAAGGAUAGAGGUAGUAACUGGCCUUUAUUUGACGGUAAUCAACCAGAAAGUCACGGGCUAACUACGUGCCAGCAGCCGCGGUAAAU